rnacentral:rRNA from 1 species
GAUGAACGCUGGCGGCGUGCCUAAUACAUGCAAGUCGAGCGAACAGACGAGGAGCUUGCUCCUCUGACGUUAGCGGCGGACGUGUGAGUAACACGUGGAUAACCUACCUAUAAGACUGGUAUAACUUCGGGAAACCGUAUCUAAUACCGGAUAAUAUAUUUAACCUCAUGGUGCAAGAAUGAAAUACGGUUUUGCUGUCACUUAUAGAUGUAUCCGCGCCGCGUUAGCUAGUUGGUAAGGUAACGGCUUACCAAGGCAACGAUGCGUAGCCGACCUGAGAGGGUGAUCGGCCACACUGGAACUGAGACACGGUCCAGACUCCUACGGGAGGCAGCAGUAGGGAAUCUUCCGCAAUGGGCGAAAGCCUGACGGAGCAACGCCGCGUGAGUGAUGACGGUCUUCGGAUCGUAAAACUCUGUUAUUAGGGAAGAACAAAUGUGUAAGUAACUAUGCACGUCUUGACGGUACCUAAUCAGAAAGCCACGGCUAACUACGUG